AUGCCGCUGCCGGACGAGCUUCUGGAGGAGAUCUUCCUCCGCCUGCCGCCGGACGAGUCCGAGUGCCUUGUGCGGGCCUCCCUCGCCAGCAAGCUCUGGCUCGGACUCCUCACCGGCGCUCGCUUCCGCGGCCGCUACAGCGAGCUCCACGGAGCCCGCCCGGCCACCACGCUGGGCUUCUUCUAUACCUGGCCUAAGGACGGCGGCCCAAGGGGGGAGGAACCGGUGCCAUACCCACACUUCGUCCCCACCACGAAGUUCGCCGCGCGCAUACCCGACGACGACGAGUGGAGGGAGUGGGAGUGGGAGGACUACGCCGCGUGGGACUGCCGCCAUGGCCGCGUGCUCUUCGGGGAGAGGGAUCGGGGGCCCGGGCAGCUCAUUGUCUGGGACCCCAUCACGGCGGACUGGACGAGCCUGAACGCGUCCAGAGACUACACCGAGGCCAGCAGCCGUGCCGCAGCGGUGCCCUGCGCCAGGAUCGGCUGCGGCCAUCGCUCGUGUUAUUGGGGCGACCCCUUCCUGGUGGUCUUCGUCUACCUGUUCGACACCGUUGCGUACGCGAGCGUUUUCGAGGACACCACUCGAAGACGCAUCGAGACAUGCUCUGGUCUCGAUCUCCCGUUUCAUGCACGCAUCGAGCCAAUGCCCCCUGUCCUCGCCGGAGACGCGCUUCACUUCAUGCUCGCGUAUGAGGACGAUGAUCAUCCUGUAGGAGUUCUCAAGUACAACGUCGUCUCAAAUCGCCUGUCACUGAUCGAUGCGCCAUGUUCGUGGUCUAUCACUGCCGACGACUCUAUCCUCCUCAUGGCGACGGAGGAUGGCAGCUUGGGGUUUGCACACGUGGAUGGGUUAACCCUCUACCUAUGGUCAAGGCAGAUGGGGUCCGACGGAGUUGCGGCAUGGACUCGAGCUAGAGUCAUCCAUCUCAAGGAACUUCUCCCAAUUCAAAAUCCUGAGAAAAGAAUGAAGCUCAAGACACUACGGUGGAGAAAGAUAUGGAAGAGUGAAAAAUUCUGUGCUUUGUUUCCGUACAUGAGUUUCUAUGGUCCAGAAGAGUUGGCAGAAUUUGCCAAGAUGGAGGACGAAGCGAUUGAGGCUGAAGUAACUCAGGAUGAGGAUGAAGCAAUUGGGGAUGAAGCAUGUGAGAAAGGACAGAUGAUUACUGUAAUUCCCUUCACUUCAAAGAUUCGCGAACCUUGCCAGUCAAGUAUAGCAUAUUGUCCUCCAAAUCCGUGGACAAAGGGAAUUCGUAGUCAACUUGCUGAGCACUAUAAUCUAUCAAACCCGGAGAUGAAUCCGAAAUUUGACAUCGAGGUCUUGUUUAAGAACCUCAGUGCGGACAUCAAAGAUGUAUAA
rnacentral:rRNA from 1 species